rnacentral:rRNA from 1 species
GACGAACGCUGGCGGCGUGCUUAACACAUGCAAGUCGAACGGGUCUGCCCUGUUUUUUGCGGGGUGGGUCAGUGGCGAACGGGUGAGUAACACGUGAGUAACCUGCCCCUCACUUCUGGAUAACCGCUUGAAAGGGUGGCUAAUACGGGGUGUUCUGGCUGUGCCGCAUGGUGUGGCUGGGAAAGAUUCACUUUUGUGGUGUUUUGGUGGGGGAUGGGCUCGCGGCCUAUCAGCUUGUUGGUGGGGUGAUGGCCUGCCAAGGCUUUGACGGGUGGCCGGCCUGGGAGGGUGGGCGGUCACACUGGGACUGAGAUACGGCCCAGACUCCUGCGGGAGGCAGCAGUGGGGGGUAUUGCACAAUGGGCGGAAGCCUGAUGCAGCGACGUCGCGUGAGGGAUGGAGGCCUGCGGGUUGUGAACCUUUUUCGCCGGUGAAGAAGGGCCUGCUCUUUGUGGUGGGGUUGACGGUAGCCGGGUUAUGAAGCGCCGGCUAACUACGUG